AAGGGCUGCUAGGUCCUCCCGGCCAAUUGCAGUCGCUUGCAACGCGUUCCAGCCAAACACAAGCUGGUGCGCUUGCUGCCUCGGCACCCCAACCAAUCAUCGUGUCCUGCCAUGCUACUGGUGCAUACGCGCCCUGGGCUCCCUCUCCUGGUCCGAUGGUGCUCUGAGAGGUUGCAAUCUCCAGGCCGUGCCCCAACAGUAUUAAAUGUGUCACAGCUCCGCAAUUGUUGCUGUUUAUCAAUGGUGACGCUGAAGUGAUGCAUAUUUUCACUCCAUUUUCUGUUUUGAGACAAGGGGUCCCAGGCUGGUAUCCAUACGCAGCUCAGGAUGCUGUCCCACUCGAAGCCCUCCUACUUCCACUUCUUGACUACCAGGUGGGUAAAGUUGCUUACCUCCAAGCUUAGAACUGAGUUCAAUCCGGAGAUCCACAUAAUGGAAGGAGAGAACCAAUUCCUAUUAGUUGUCCUCUGACCCCCGAACCCGUGGCACGAACACAGUCACACAUACACAAAAUAAAUAAACAAAAUGUAAAAAAAAAAAAAAAAAAAAAAAAAAAAAACCAGUACUCAAAUGCAGUGUUUUGGGUUGGGUGUGCAGCUAUGUUGAUGAAGUGCUAGCUGUAUAAGGCUCUGAGUCCAGCCCUCAGCCCCACUCAAAUCAGGUGUAAUUUUUGUAAUUGCAGAACUCGGGGGAGAUGGAGGCAGAAAGAUCCGAAGAAGCCCAAGGUUAUCAUCAACCACAUAGCCAAAUUCAAGGCUAGUUUGAGCUAGAUGAGAUCCUGGGCAGGAAAUGGGGAGAUUGGUGGCAAUGUGUAGUAUAUAUGUUAACAUGCCCAAUAAUUCUGAAUGACAAAUGGGUGGGCUUCUGGUAAAGAAAGAAAGAAGAUAAAUAAAUAACUGAGACUCCAGCCUGUCACCCUAGCACUUGGCAGGCAGAGACAGGAGGAUCAGGGCACCAAGACUGGCCUCAGCUACUCAACAAGUUUGAGGCUACCUUGAACUGCCCAAGAAUCCGGC
rnacentral:lncRNA from 1 species